ACACAUGCAGUCGAACGAACUCUUCGGAGUUAGUGGCGGACGGGUGAGUAACACGUGGGAACGUGCCUUUUGGUUCGGAAUAACUCAGGGAAACUUGUGCUAAUACCGAAUGUGCCCUUCGGGGGAAAGAUUUAUCGCCAUUAGAGCGGCCCGCGUCUGAUUAGCUAGUUGGUGAGGUAAAGGCUCACCAAGGCGACGAUCAGUAGCUGGUCUGAGAGGAUGAUCAGCCACAUUGGGACUGAGACACGGCCCAAACUCCUACGGGAGGCAGCAGUGGGGAAUCUUGCGCAAUGGGCGAAAGCCUGACGCAGCCAUGCCGCGUGAAUGAUGAAGGUCUUAGGAUUGUAAAAUUCUUUCACCGGGGACGAUAAUGACGGUACCCGGAGAAGAAGCCCCGGCUAACUUCGUGCCAGCAGCCGCGGUAAUACGAAGGGGGCUAGCGUUGCUCGGAAUUACUGGGCGUAAAGGGAGCGUAGGCGGACAUUUAAGUCAGGGGUGAAAUCCCGGGGCUCAACCUCGGAAUUGCCUUUGAUACUGGGUGUCUUGAGUAUGAGAGAGGUAUGUGGAACUCCGAGUGUAGAGGUGAAAUUCGUAGAU
rnacentral:rRNA from 1 species